CUUUCUCGCCACAGACAAAAGCAGUUGCCAGUUUCCAAGCCAACCCUCUUAAUAAAUAAGCGUACUGCUGCUACUCAACAGCUCAUCUUCAAGUACUUUCACAUAUAUAUAUGUAUAUAUCUCUCUCUCUCUCUCUCUCAUGAUGGGUGUAUAUGUGAUAUGAUGGUAAUCCGCGUAGAAGUAAAAUAUUUUCCUAUAUAAAUACAGAGUAGAAGCCCCCGUCAUCGGAUCUGAAGCUGAAGCAGCUUCCUAGUGACCUAGAAAAACUGGUUUUCUCUCUUUUCGAUUUCAGUAUAUAAUUUAAGUUUUUGAGGCAUACCCACUUCCAAUAAGUGUACAAGCAAUAAUGGGUCGGUCAUGUUUUCUCAACCUUCUUCUUCUUUCGGUGCUUCUGCUUCUCGCCUUCUCCCAUGGUAACUGUUCUUGCUUUCCCCUUAUUUUUCUUUUCUCAAAAUUUAUUUAAAAUCUUCUUCUCUGUUCUCAGAUUUAGUUUUGUUUUUGUCACUUUUAAGGAUUUGGAAGGAAAGCGAUGGCGACAGCUGAAAAUGGAGAGUCCACCAGUUACCAAGUUGAGGUUAUUUAAUUUGGUUUCGUGGGUUUUAUUUGUCUUGUAUUAAAGUGAUUUUCUGAGGGUAUAUAAAAAUAGGAUUGAUGGGUGUUUGGUUUGCAGGAAAGCGGAGGAAAAUCCAGAGAGAUGAUUGAAGUGAUGGAUUAUCAAGAUCCAGGUCCAAACACCAACCCCAAAACUGGUUUCCUUCUAAGCCCUCCACCACCAGCACAAGGUUAAUUCUAAUUAUCUUUCCUAUUGCAGCCUGUAGUUAAUUAAUUUUAUUGUUAUGAUGAGAAAACAGAGAGUGUUCUGUUAAUUAUUCCCCCCCCAAAUGUAAUAUUUGAUAGAAAUGUUAAUAUAUAUAUAUAUAUAUGUAUGUUUGUCUGUGUGAAAUGUAUAUGAUCUGACUUAAAAGCUUCCCCUCUUUUUGGCUGUAAAUUUCUACUCCUCUCUAUAAGGUGCAGAUUUGAAUUGGGGAAUAUUUAUUUGCAUGUUUUCAUUAGAAAAGCAUAUUAUAAUUGUGUAAUUCCAAAAAUAAUCAGUUGAAUUGUCUUAAAAACUUCCAAUUGUUAACAAAAGAAGAAAUUGAAGGUAAUAUAAAUUUUGAUUCAACACCAUAUAUCUUCAGACGAACCAAGAACAUAAUUAAGUUUUUUCAACUAAAAAAAAAAAAAACCCUUUUAAUUUGGUUGGCAGAGUAUAUAUGUUGUGAUUUGUUAAUUGUUUGAAGAAUCUGUUACAUAAUUAGAAUUGGGGGAUUGAGGGAGACGAGAUCUCAUCUGCUUCAUCAAAUGAUAAUCAGCUCGAU
rnacentral:lncRNA from 1 species